rnacentral:rRNA from 1 species
UACAGAGGGUGCAAGCGUUAAUCGGAAUUACUGAGCGUAAAGCGCGCGUAGGUGGUUUGUUAAGUUGGAUGUGAAAGCCCCGGGCUCAACCUGGGAACUGCAUCCAAAACUGGCAAGCUAGAGUACGGUAGAGGGUGGUGGAAUUUCCUGUGUAGCGGUGAAAUGCGUAGAUAUAGGAAGGAACACCAGUGGCGAAGGCGACCACCUGGACUGAUACUGACACUGAGGUGCGAAAGCGUGGGGAGCAAACAGG